rnacentral:rRNA from 1 species
AUUGAACGCUGGCGGCAGGCCUAACACAUGCAAGUCGAACGAGAGGCGGACGGGCGAGUAAUGUCUGGGAAACUGCCUGAUGGAGAGGGAUAAAUACUGGAAACGGUAGCUAAUACCGCAUACCAUCAGAUAUGCCCAGAUGGGUUUAGCUAGUUGGUGGGGUAACGGCUCACCAAGGCGACGAUCCCUAGCUGGGCUGCGAGGAUGACCAGCCACACUGGAACUGUGACACGGUCCAGACGCCUACGUGAGGCAGCAGUGGGGAAUAUUGCACAAUGGGCGCAAGCCUGAUCCAGCCAUGCCGCGUGUAUGAAGAAGGUCUUCGGGUUGUAAAGUACUUUCAGCGGGGAGGCGUUACCCACAGAAGAAGCACCGGCUAACUCCGUGCCAGCAGCCGCGGUAAUUC